rnacentral:rRNA from 1 species
GUGUUAAGUGGAAAAGGAUGUGGGAUUUCGAAGACAACUAGGAUGUUGGCUCAGAAGCAGCCACACAUUCAAAGAGUGCGUAAUAGCUCACUAGUCGAGAGGUCCUGCGCCGAAAAUGUCCGGGGCUAAAACACAACACCGAAGCUUAGGAAUGUAAUUAUACAUUGGUAGAGGAGCAUUCUUAAAGAGACGAAGCAGUACCGAUAAGGAGCUGUGGAUUUUUAAGAAGAGAGAAUGCCGGAAUGAGUAGCGAGAUGGAGGUGGGAAUCCUCCAGGCCGAAUAUCUAAGGUUUCCAGAGUAAAGCUGAUCUGCUCUGGGUAAGUCGGGGCCUAAGGCGAGGUCGAAAGACGUAGUCGAUGGAUAACAGGUUGAAAUUCCUGUACCGCAUAUAAACAGAACUGUGGGGACACAGACAGGGAAUGGAAUCCGGGAAUGGAUAUCCCGGUGCAAGCGAGGUAGGAGUGCUGUUGGCAAAUCCGCAGCACGAUCUGAAGACGUGACGCGUACCGAACAUAAGUAGGGAAGUCCAGGCCCCUGGCUGUCAAGAAAAGCCGCUAUUGUUUUAUAUGUGCCCGUACCGCAAACCGACACAGGUGGAUGAGGAGAGAAUCCUAAGGCCGACGGGAGAAGUAUUGUUAAGGAACUCGGCAAAAUGACUCCGUAACUUCGGGAGAAGGAGUGCCAUGAGAGUGGCCGCAGAGAAAUGGCCCAAGCAACUGUUUAGCAAAAACACAGGUCUAUGCAAAACCGCAAGGUGAAGUAUAUGGGCUGACGCCUGCCCGGUGCUGGAAGGUUAAGGGGAGAGGUUAGCGCAAGCGAAGCUUUGAACUUAAGCCCCAGUAAACGGCGGCCGUAACUAUAACGGUCCUAAGGUAGCGAAAUUCCUUGUCGGGUAAGUUCCGACCCGCACGAAAGGCGUAAUGAUUUGAGCGCUGUCUCGACAAUGCACCCGGUGAAAUUGAAAUACCAGUGAAGAUGCUGGUUACCUGCGCCAGGACGGAAAGACCCCAUGGAGCUUUACUCCAGCUUGAUACUGGGAUUCGGUAUUGCAUGUACAGGAUAGGUGGGAGGCUAGGAAAUGGUAACGCCAGUUGCCAUGGAGCCGCUGUUGGGAUACCACCCUUGCAGUACUGGGUUUCUAACCAGCAGCCGUGACCCGGCUGGGGGACAAUGUCAGGUGGGGAGUUUGACUGGGGCGGUCGCCUCCGAAAGGGUAUCGGAGGCGCUCAAAGGUUCCCUCAGAAUGGUUGGAAACCAUUCGAAGAGUG